AUUGAACGCUGGCGGCAUGCCUUACACAUGCAAGUCGAACGGCAGCACGGGUGCUUGCACCUGGUGGCGAGUGGCGAACGGGUGAGUAAUACAUCGGAACAUGUCCUGUAGUGGGGGAUAGCCCGGCGAAAGCCGGAUUAAUACCGCAUACGAUCCAYGGAUGAAAGCGGGGGACCUUCGGGCCUCGCGCUAUAGGGUUGGCCGAUGGCUGAUUAGCUAGUUGGUGGGGUAAAGGCCUACCAAGGCGACGAUCAGUAGCUGGUCUGAGAGGACGACCAGCCACACUGGGACUGAGACACGGCCCAGACUCCUACGGGAGGCAGCAGUGGGGAAUUUUGGACAAUGGGCGAAAGCCUGAUCCAGCAAUGCCGCGUGUGUGAAGAAGGCCUUCGGGUUGUAAAGCACUUUUGUCCGGAAAGAAKMCUUGGCUCUAAUACAGUCGGGGGAUGCCUUG
rnacentral:rRNA from 1 species